rnacentral:rRNA from 1 species
GAUGAACGCUAGCUACAGGCUUAACACAUGCAAGUCGAGGGGUAGCAGGGUAGCAAUACCGCUGACGACCGGCGCACGGGUGAGUAACACGUAUCCAACCUUCCCAUAACUCGGGGAUAGCCUUUCGAAAGAAAGAUUAAUACCCGAUAGUACUUUAUUAAGGCAUCUUAAGAAAGUUAAAGAUUUAUUGGUUAUGGAUGGGGAUGCGUUCCAUUAGAUAGUUGGUGAGGUAACGGCUCACCAAGUCUUCGAUGGAUAGGGGUUCUGAGAGGAAGGUCCCCCACAUUGGUACUGAGACACGGACCAAACUCCUACGGGUGGCUG